GGGCCCGCACAAGCGGUGGAGCAUGUGGUUUAAUUCGAUGAUACGCGAGGAACCUUACCAGGGCUUAAAUGCAGAACGACCGGGGUGGAAACACCCCUUCUUCGGCGGUCUGCAAGGUGCUGCAUGGUUGUCGUCAGCUCGUGCUGUGAAGUGUCGGGUUAAGUCCCAUAACGAGCGCAACCCCUAUUUCUAGUUGCCAGCGGUUCGGCCGGGGACUCUAGAGAAACUGCCAGCGUAAGCUGUGAGGAAGGUGGGGAUGACGUCAAAUCAUCACGGCCCUUACGUCCUGGGCCACACACGUGCUACAAUGGUGGGGACAACAAGUUGCCAACCCGCGAGGGUGAGCUAAUCUUCAAACCCCAUCUCAGUUCGGAUCGGAGUCUGCAACUCGACUCCGUGAAGUUGGAAUCGCUAGUAAUCGCGCAUC
rnacentral:rRNA from 1 species